rnacentral:sRNA from 1 species
UCCCUGUGUUCCCAAGAGAAUUACAUUAUUGACAAAAGACUCCAAGACGAGGAUGCCAGUAGUACCCAGCAGAGGCGCCAGAUAUUUAGAGUUAAUAAAGAUGCUUCAGGGAGAUCUACAAAUAGCCAUCAAAGCAGCACUGAGAAUGAGUUGAAGUACUCAGAACCACGACCCUGGAGCAGCACAGAUUCAGACAGCUCUCUUCGAAACCUGAAACCUGCUGUAACCAAAGCCAGCAGCUUCAGUGGAAUCUCAGUCCUGACAAGAGGUGAUAGUUCUGGAAGCAGCAAAAGCAUAGGCAGGCUUUCAAAAACAGGUCAGCCCUUCAUAAACCCAGAUGGGAGUCCAGUUGUGUAUAAUCCUCCUAUGACUCAACAACCAGUUAGAUCCCAAGUGCCUGGACCUCCACAGCCACCUCUGCCAGCCCCACCUCAACAACCAGCAGCUAAUCACAUUUUCUCACAGACGGAGUCUCCCUCUGGCGCCCAGGCUGGAGUGCAGUGGCGCGACCUCGGCUCACUGCAAGCUCCGCCUCUUGGAUUCACGCCAUUCUCCUGUCUCAGCCUCCCGAGUAGCUGGGCUACAGGCGCCCGCCACCGUGCCCGGCUAAUUUUUUGUAUUUUUUAGUAGAGACGGGGUUUCACCAUGUUAGCCAGGAUGGUCUCAAUCUCCUGACCUCGUGAUCCGCCCGCCUCAGCCUCCCGAAGUGC